UACGAAGGGGGCUAGCGUUGCUCGGAAUUACUGGGCGUAAAGCGUGCGUAGACGGUUGCGUAAGUCAGAUGUGAAAGCCCCGGGCUCAACCUGGGAAUUGCAUUUGAGACUGCGUAGCUAGGGUGCGGAAGAGGGAAGCGGAAUUUCCGGUGUAGCGGUGAAAUGCGUAGAUAUCGGAAGGAACACCAGUGGCGAAAGCGGCUUCCUGGUCCAGCACCGACGUUCAGGCACGAAAGCGUGGGGAGCAAACAGG
rnacentral:rRNA from 1 species